rnacentral:rRNA from 1 species
CGGGAGGCAGCAGUGGGGAAUAUUGGACAAUGGGGGCAACCCUGAUCCAGCCAUGCCGCGUGUGUGAAGAAGGCCUUUUGGUUGUAAAGCACUUUAAGCAGGGAGGAGAGGCUAAUGGUUAAUACCCAUUAGAUUAGACGUUACCUGCAGAAUAAGCACCGGCUAACUCUGUGCCAGCAGCCGCGGUAAUACAGAGGGUGCGAGCGUUAAUCGGAAUUACUGGGCGUAAAGCGAGUGUAGGUGGCUCAUUAAGUCACAUGUGAAAUCCCCGGGCUUAACCUGGGAACUGCAUGUGAUACUGGUGGUGCUAGAAUAUGUGAGAGGGAAGUAGAAUUCCAGGUGUAGCGGUGAAAUGCGUAGAGAUCUGGAGGAAUACCGAUGGCGAAGGCAGCCAUCUGGCCUAAUACUGACGCUGAGGUACGAAAGCAUGGGGAGCAAACAGGAUUAGAUACCCUGGUAGUCCAUGCCGUAAACGUUGGGCACUAGGUGUGGGGGACAUUCCACGUUUUCCGCGCCGUAGCUAACGCAUUAAGUGCCCCGCCUGGGGAGUACGGCCGCAAGGCUAAAACUCAAAGGAAUUGACGGGGGCCCGCACAAGCGGCGGAGCAUGUGGAUUAAUUCGAUGCAACGCGAAGAACCUUACCUGGUCUUGACAUCCACGGAACUUUCCAGAGAUGGAUUGGUGCCUUCGGGAACCGUGAGACAGGUGCUGCAUGGCUGUCGUCAGCUCGUGUCGUGAGAUGUUGGGUUAAGCCCCGCAACGAGCGCAACCCUCGUUCUAUGUUGCCAGCACGUGAUGGUGGGGACUCAUAGGAGACUGCCGGGGUCAACUCGGAGGAAGGUGGGGAUGACGUCAAAUCAUCAUGCCCCUUAUGACCUGGGCUACACACGUGCUACAAUGGACAAUACAAAGGGCAGCGAAACCGCGAGGUCAAGCAAAUCCCAUAAAGUUGUUCUCAGUUCGGAUUGUAGUCUGCAACUCGACUACAUGAAGUUGGAAUCGCUAGUAAUCGCUGGUCAGCUAUACAGCGGUGAAUUCGUUCCCGGGCCUUGUACACACCGCCCGUCACA